AUUUGAUAAGGCAUCUUAUUAAUAUUAAAGCUUCGGCACUUGAUGAUGGGUGUGCGGCUGAUUAGAUAGUUGGGCGGGGGUAACGGCCCACCAAGUCUACGAUCAGUAGCUGAUGUGAGAGCAUGAUCAGCCACACGGGGCACUGAGACACGGGCCCGACUCCUACGGGAGGCAGCAGUAAGGAUAUUGGACAAUGGACGAAAGUCUGAUCCAGCCAUGCCCGCGUGAAGGAUUAAGGUCCUCUGGAUUGUAAACUUCUUUUAUAUGGGACGAAAAAAGGGGCAUUCUUGUUCACUUGACGGUACCAUAUGAAUAAGCACCGGGCUAACUCCGUG
rnacentral:rRNA from 1 species